GUAGAAGCCAAUAGAAAUUCACCACGCUCAAAAAGAUAAAUAUAUAAACUGUCUCUUCAAUUAAAGGCCUUCAUACAAACGAUCUAUAUUCUGUAAGACAUACAUCAUUUUUAAGAAACAACAUACUUUAUUUUUGUGUUACUACGAUGACUAAAAUGAAAAUCGCAGUUCUCCUUCUUCUGGUGUGUUUUGCAAAUCUCUGUGCUCUAUCAGACAGUUGUUGCAUGACGAGUGAAUACUGUUCACACCAUAAAGAUUGUUGCUCAUCAAGAGCUUGCAACAGCUUUUCAGACGGAAAAAAAAGAUGUGUUACCAAUCGUAGAAAAUAAAAGAACACAAAAUGAAUAAAAUAAACUUCUAGAAAAAAUAAACAUCUGACAUUGACAAUGUUUUUAAAGUUAUUUUUUU